GGGGUUUUGGGAGGGAUGGAGUACUGGUAGCGUGGUUGGUUUGUGUCCAGCCCCCCUUGAUUUUGGCACGAGGGGGUGAACAUCUUUCCCUGUGUAUUAUUGCAUGCUGGUUCUAGGUGACUAGUGUCUGCUGUGAACAGGGCAGCUGGCGGCAUGGGAAAGACCGUGUGACAGCAAGGAGAGACUGCUGGCAGGAGGGAACAGACCCCCAUGGGCUAGCAACCUGUGACAGCAGCAUCUUAUUCUCUUGUGUAGCUGGAGGUGCGCCCUGUUUAAGCUACAGACACACAAAUGUUAUCAAUACCCCAAGAGUCAGCGAGAGCAGGGGUGGAAGAUGACUCAUCGGUGGAUAUAACGGCUUUAGACCUUGGCGUGAACUUCACCAUGAGUGGGGGGGGAAGCACAAACACAACCACGCCAAGCAGGGGUGGAUCGGUGCUGCAGGUGUGUAUUUGUGGUUGGAGGAAGGUGACUUCAGUGAGAGGCCUAAGAAUUCAUCAAGGCAAGAAGAAGUGUUUGGAGGGACGAGGGCAGGGGCCCCGCAUUGAUCGCCACAACCUACGGAAUGGUCCAAAUAAGUCGGGUGAAGUUCAGGGGCAGGUUGUACACCAAAGACCACAGGACAUCAAUACCUCUGUCUUAGAGGAGACAAGACCAAACAUGGAUGCACAAGGCAGCAUUGAUCAUGGGGAGGAUCUGGGGCAGAUGAUACCAAGACAGGCAGGGAAGGAAAGGCAUAGGGAACAAAAACCUAAGGUGAGAUGGCCAGGCGCCACUGACUGUAAGGAGUGGACCUCUGUUAACGAAGACUUGAGAGGGAUUUUAAAUGGUCUGAAGGGUAUGGCUGAGUCUAAGGUAAACGGAUUGGGUGAGAUUAUAUAUGACUACAAGGGGGGGUGCAGUGGUGCAGUGGCGCAGUGGGUUGGACCAGGUCCUGCUCUCCGGUGGGUCUGGGACUCGAGUCCACUUGGGGUGCCUUGCAACAGACUGGCAUCCUAUCCUGGGUGUGUCCCCUCUCCCUCCAGCCUUUCGCCCUGAG
rnacentral:lncRNA from 1 species